UACGGAGGGUGCGAGCGUUGUCCGGAAUCACUGGGCGUAAAGGGCGCGUAGGCGGCGCGGGCAGUCAACGGUGAAAGCUCGGAGCUCAACUCCGAGUCGGCCGUCGAUACUCCCGUGCUCGAGCACUGUAGAGGCAGAUGGAAUUCCGGGUGUAGCGGUGGAAUGCGUAGAGAUCCGGAAGAACACCGGUGGCGAAGGCGGUCUGCUGGGCAGUAGCUGACGCUGAUGCGCGACAGCGUGGGGAGCAAACAGG
rnacentral:rRNA from 1 species